UUCAAAAAACGACAUUGCACUCAUAUAAUCGCAGGGAUAUGGCCUGCAAGUAUCUACCGGAUUACCAGUGCGCAUAGGGCGCCAAAAUAAUCUGACUAUGAGUGGGAACAGCUGGCAU
rfam:Bacillus sp. FJAT-27916 Scaffold1, whole genome shotgun sequence.